CCUACGGGAGGCAGCAGUGAGGAAUAUUGGUCAAUGGACCAGAGUCUGAACCAGCCAAGUAGCGUGAAGGAUGACUGCCCUAUGGGUUGUAAACUUCUUUUAUAUGGGAAUAAAAUGUUCCACGUGUGGGAUUUUGUAUGUACCAUAUGAAUAAGGAUCGGCUAACUCCGUGACAGCAGCCGCGGUAAUACGGCGGGUCCGAGCGUUAUCCGGAUUUAUUGGGUGUAAAGGGAGCGUAGGUGGAUUGUUAAGUCAGUUGUGAAAGUUUGCGGCUCAACCGUAAAAUUGCAGUUGAAACUGGCAGGCUGGAGUACAGUAGAGGUGGGCGGAAUUCGUGGUGUAGCGGUGAAAUGCUUAGAUAUCACGAAGAACUCCGAUUGCGAAGGCAGUUCACUGGACUGCAACUGACACUGAGGCUCGAAAGUGUGGGUAUCAAACAGGAUUAGAUACCCUUGUAGUC
rnacentral:rRNA from 1 species